rnacentral:rRNA from 1 species
UGGGGAAUCUUGGACAAUGGGGGCAACCCUGAUCCAGCGACGCCGCGUGGGUGACGAAGGCCUUCGGGUUGUAAAGCCCUUUUCUCGGGGACGAUGAUGACGGUACCCGAGGAAUAAGCACCGGCUAACUCCGUGCCAGCAGCCGCGGUAAGACGGAGGGUGCUAGCGUUGUUCGGAAUUACUGGGCGUAAAGGGCGCGUAGGCGGCCUGGUCAGUCGGGUGUGAAAGCCCGGGGCUCAACCCCGGAACGGCACCCGAGACGGCCAGGCUGGAGACCGGGAGAGGAGGGUGGAAUAGCCAGUGUAGAGGUGAAAUUCGUAGAUAUUGGCUGGAACACCGGUGGCGAAAGCGGCUCUCUGGCCCGGUUCUGACGCUGAGGCGCGAAAGCGUGGGGAGCAAA